rnacentral:tRNA from 1 species
GCUGGGGUGGUGUAGUGGUUAGCACAUCUGCCUAGUGAGCAGGAGACCUGGGUUUGAAUCCCGGCCUUCGUA